GAUGAAGAACACAGUGAAAUGUGAUAAGUAAUGUGAAUUGCAGAAUUCAGUGAGUCAUCAAAUCUUUGAACGCACCUUGCACCUUUUGGUAUUCCAAAAGGUAUACCUGUUUGAGUGUCAUGA
rnacentral:rRNA from 1 species